GACGAACGCUGGCGGCGUGCCUAAUACAUGCAAGUCGAACGCUGAAGGAGGAGCUUGCUUCUCUGGAUGAGUUGCGAACGGGUGAGUAACGCGUAGGUAACCUGCCUGGUAGCGGGGGAUAACUAUUGGAAACGAUAGCUAAUACCGCAUAAGAGUAGAUGUCGCAUGACAUUUGCUUAAAAGGUGCAAUUACAUCACUACCAGAUGGACCUGCGUUGUAUUAGCUAGUUGGUGAGGUAACGGCUCACCAAGGCAACGAUACAUAGCCGACCUGAGAGGGUGAUCGGCCACACUGAGAGUGAGACACGGCCCAGACUCCUACGGGAGGCAGCAGUAGGGAAACUUCGGCAAUGGACGGAAGUCUGACCGAGCAACGCCGCGUGAGUGAAGAAGGUUGUCGGAUCGUAAAGCUCUGUUGUAAGAGAAGAACGAGGGUGAGAGUGGAAAGUACACACUGUGACGGUAUCUUACCAGAAAGGGACGGCUAACUACGUG
rnacentral:rRNA from 1 species